UACGGAGGGUGCAAGCGUUUAUCCGGAUUCACUGGGUUUAAAGGGUGUGUAGGCGGAUUUUUAAGUCAGUGGUGAAAUCUCCGGGCUCAACCCGGAAACUGCCAUUGAUACUAUUAGUCUUGAAUUCUGUUGAGGUGGGCGGAAUACAUCAUGUAGCGGUGAAAUGCUUAGAUAUGAUGUAGAACACCGAUUGCGAAGGCAGCUCACUAA
rnacentral:rRNA from 1 species